UGCCAGACUCCUACGGGAGGCAGCAGUGGGGGAUAUUGCACAAUGGGGGGAACCCUGAUGCAGCGACGCCGCGUGGGUGAAGAAGCGCCUCGGCGCGUAAAGCCCUAUCAGCAGGGAAGAAAAUGACGGUACCUGAAGAAGAAGCCCCGGCUAACUACGUGCCAGCAGCCGCGGUAAUACGUAGGGGGCGAGCGUUAUCCGGAUUUACUGGGUGUAAAGGGAGCGUAGACGGCGUCGCAAGUCUGAAGUGAAAGCCCGUGGCUCAACCGCGGAACCGCUUUGGAAACUGCGAGGCUGGAGUGCUGGAGAGGUAAGCGGAAUUCCUGGUGUAGUGGUGAAAUGCGUAGAUAUCAGGAGGAACACCGGUGGCGAAGGCGGCUUACUGGACAGUGACUGACGUUGAGGCUCGAAAGCGUGGGGAGCGAACAGGAUUAGAUACCCGUGUAU
rnacentral:rRNA from 1 species